rnacentral:rRNA from 1 species
AACGAACGCUGGCGGCAGGGCCUAACACAUGCAAGUCGAGCGAGACCUUCGGGUCUAGCGGCGGACGGGUUAGUAACGCGUGGGAACGUGCCCUUCUCUGCGGAAUAGCCACUGGAAACGGUGAGUAAUACCGCAUACGCCCUUCGGGGAAAGAUUUAUCGGAGAAGGAUCGGCCCGCGUUAGAUUAGAUAGUUGGUGGGUAACGGCCUACCAAGUCUACGAUCUAUAGCUGGUUUUAGAGGAUGAUCAGCAACACUGGGACUGAGACACGGCCCAGACUCCUACGGGAGGCAGCAGUGGGGAAUCUUAGACAAUGGGCGCAAGCCUGAUCUAGCCAUGCCGCGUGUGUGAUGAAGGUCUUAGGAUCGUAAAGCACUUUCGCCAGGGAUGAUAAUGACAGUACCUGGUAAAGAAACCCCGGCUAACUCCGUG